rfam:Strigamia maritima strain Brora ctg7180001232036, whole genome shotgun sequence.
CCAGGUAGCUUAAUGGGAAAGCACCCAACCGGCAAUUGGGGGAUCUGGGUUCAAGUCCCGGCCUGG